rnacentral:rRNA from 1 species
UACGUAGGGUCCGAGCGUUGUCCGGAAUUAUUGGGCGUAAAGAGCUCGUAGGCGGUUUGUCGCGUCUGCUGUGAAAACCCGAGGCUCAACCUCGGGCCUGCAGUGGGUACGGGCAGACUAGAGUGCGGUAGGGGGAGAUUGGAAUUCCUGGUGUAGCGGUGGAAUGCGCAGAUAUCAGGAGGAACACCAAUGGCGAAGGCAGAUCUCUGGGCCGUAACUGACGCUGAGGAGCGAAAGCAUGGGGAGCGAACAGG